AUUGAACGCUGGCGGCAGGCCUAACACAUGCAAGUCGAGCGAGCGGCGGACGGGUGAGUAAUGUAUGGGGACUGCCCGAUAGAGGGGGGUAACUACUGGAAACGGUGGCUAAUACCGCAUACUACAGGAUAACCCAUAUGGGAUUAGCUCGUUGGUGAGGGAAAGGCUCACAAAGGCGACGCUCCCUAGCUGGUCUGAGAGGAUGAUAAGCCACACGGGGACUGAGACACGGCCCAGACUCCUACGGAGGCAGCAGUGGGUAAUAUUGCACAAUUGGCGCAAGCCUGAUGCAGCCAUGCCGCGUGUAUGAAGAAGGCCCUAGGGUUGUAAAGGACUUUCAGUCGGGAGGCGUUACCGACAGAAGAAGCACCGGCUAACUCCGUGCCAGCAGCCGCGGUAAUUU
rnacentral:rRNA from 1 species